UACGUAGGGGGCAAGCGUUAUCCGGAUUUACUGGGUGUAAAGGGAGCGUAGACGGCAGUGCAAGUCUGGAGUGAAAGGCGGGGGCUCAACCCCCGGACUGCUCUGGAAACUGUACGGCUGGAGUGCAGGAGAGGUAAGUGGAAUUCCUAGUGUGGCGGUGAAAUGCGUAGAUAUUAGGAGGAACACCAGUGGCGAAGGCGGCUUACUGGACUGUAACUGACGUUGAGGCUCGAAAGCGUGGGGAGCAAACAGG
rnacentral:rRNA from 1 species